rnacentral:rRNA from 1 species
UGGGGAAUAUUGCACAAUGGGCGCAAGCCUGAUGCAGCCAUGCCGCGUGUGUGAAGAAGGCCUUCGGGUUGUAAAGCACUUUCAGCGGGGAGGAAGGGUCACUAGUUAAUACCUAGUGGCAUUGACGUUACUCGCAGAAGAAGCACCGGCUAACUCCGUGCCAGCAGCCGCGGUAAUACGGAGGGUGCAAGCGUUAAUCGGAAUUACUGGGCGUAAAGCGCACGCAGGCGGUUUGUUAAGUCAGAUGUGAAAUCCCCGAGCUCAACUUGGGAACUGCAUUUGAAACUGGCAAGCUAGAGUCUUGUAGAGGGGGGUAGAAUUCCAGGUGUAGCGGUGAAAUGCGUAGAGAUCUGGAGGAAUACCGGUGGCGAAGGCGGCCCCCUGGACAAAGACUGACGCUGAAGCGCGAAAGCGUGGGGAGCAAACAGG